GAUGAACGCUGGCGGCGUGCUUAAUACAUGCAAGUCGAACGGAAAGGCGCUGCUCUUGCGGCGUGCUCGAGAGGCGAACGGGUGAGUAACACGCGAGUAACCUGCACUUGACUUAGUGAUAACUUCAGGAAACUGGGGCUAAUAUCGGAUAGGAGCUCCUGAAGCAUGGUGUGGGUUGGUAAGUUUCGGCGGUUGGGGCUGGACUCGCGGCUUAUCAGCUUGUUGGUGGAGUUGUGGCUUACGAAGGCUAUGACGGCUAGCCCGCCUGAGAGGGGGACCGGCCACCAUGCGACUGCGAUACGGCCCAGACUCCUACGGGAGGCAGCGGUGGGGAAUAUGGCACAAUGGGCGGACGCCAGAUGCAGCAACGCCGCGUGCGGGAUGACGUCCUUCUGGUUGUAAACCGCUUUCGCCUGUGACGAAGCGUGAUUGACGGUAAUGGGUAAAGAAGCACCGGCUAACUACGUG
rnacentral:rRNA from 1 species